rnacentral:rRNA from 1 species
CAACNCCGCGUGAGGGAUGAAGGCCUCUGGGCUGUAAACCUCUUUUAUCAAGGAAGAAGAACUGACGGUACUUGAUGAAUAAGCCWCGGCUAAUUCCGUGCCAGCAGCCGCGGUAAUACGGGAGWGGCAAGCGUUAUCCGGAAUUAUUGGGCGUAAAGCGUCCGCAGGCGGUUUUACAAGUCUGUCGUUAAAGCGUGGAGCUCAACUCCAUUUCAGCGAUGGAAACUGUAAGACUMGAGUGUGGUAGGGGCAGAGGGAAUUCCCGGUGUAGCGGUGAAAUGCGUAGAUAU